CCACGGCGCGGCUUGCUUCAGUGAAGCCGCGCCGCCGAUUGUGUCACUUAGUGGGCCUCUUUCGGUAAGCGGAACAGGCGAUGCGGAAUGCUCCGCAAGUGGACGUAAGGCGCCUAAGUGUAGGCUCACAGAUACCAUGAAGGGUGUUCGUUGAUAUAGACAGCAGGACGGUGGCCAUGGAAGUCGGAACCCGCUAAGGAGUGUGUAACAACUCACCUGCCGAAUCAACCAGCCCCGAAAAUGGAUGGCGCUCAAGCCUACCGCCGACAGUCCACCGUGACCGCUACGACAUCGAAGGGAGUCGACGAUGCGGUCACGUGUAGGGGUGCGUGAAGGCAAAGCUGCGAAGCCUCUGGCGUGAGCCUGGGUGGAGCUGCCUUUAGUGCAGAUCUUGGUUGUAGUAGCGAAUAUUCAACUGUGGAUUCGAACGAACGAUCGUUGAAGGCUGAAGUGGGGAAGGGUUUCGUGUCAACGGCGAUCGGACACGAGUGACUCGGUACUAAAGCCAGCGUUGAAUCGUCCUUGUGGAAGGGGGUGACGUCCCUGCCUCGCGGCAGGGUGCACCCGGUUGGCUGAAAGUAGAGCGGGCUUAACAUUCCCGCAGCCGAUCAUGGGAAUCUGAGGUGGCAACACACGCAGACAAGACUGAUGACGGUGCGCGUCGGGCCCGGGAGAGUUCUCUUUUCUUCUGAAUGGGGCGCCCCUCCAGCGAGUUCGCGUCGAGCGGUGACCUGGAGGCGGCCCCAGCAGAGCCCCGCAUUUGCGCGGGGUAGGGACGCCGACGCUCGCCUAAGAAAAAGUCAGUGGCGUCCGAUUUCCCGAUGACGGGCCGUACCCAUAUCCGCAUCCGGUCCCCAAGCUUUGAAAGCUCUAGCCAGUAGAACAAGGUAGUCUAAGGGAAGUCGGCAAAUUGGAUGUGUAAGCUCGCGAGAAACAUUGGCUCUGAAGGCAAAGCCGCGCGCGGCCGACGCGGGCCGCGGACCAAAGGCGCCGGCCGACCGGGCCAGCGUGUUUCCUCGGACGCACGCUGGCCAGGGGAGCCGCCCGCCUCCGCUGCCCUCGCCCCCGGGCGCAGUCGGGCUCACCGCGCCGGCACUGAAUUGCCAGUUCAGAACUGCUUACCCAGGGGAAUCCAACUGUAUAAUUAAAACACAGGCUUGCGACGCAGAUAAGUUCUGUUUGACGCAAGCUGAUUUCUGCCCAGUGCUCUGAAUGUCAAUGUGACGAGAUUCACCUACGCGCGGGUAAACGGCGGGAGUAACUAUGACUCUCUUAAGGUAGCCAAAUGCCUCGUCUUCUAAUUAGAGACGCGCAUGAAUGGAUUAAUGAGAUUCCCACUGUCCCUAGCUACCAUCUAGCGAACCAACUGCGUCAAGGGAACGGUCUUGAAUGAUUAAGCGGGGAAAGAAGACCCUGUUGAGUUUGACUCCAGUCUCAGUUUGUCGGGCGGCAUAGGAGGUGUAGUCAUAGGUGGGAGGUGCAAACCGGUUCUGAAAAACCACUUCUUCUAUCGUUACUCUGCAAAUUCAAUGGUAAAGCACAGGGGGUUAUGCCGGCUUCGGCCGGCAUUCGCGUCGCGGCUCCCCCGGGAGCCGCGGCCAACUUCCCUCUUACAGAACUAACCGCGCCCCCUGGGGGGCGCGCCAGCUUCAGUUUGGAAACCAGACUGAGAUGGGGAGUUUGGCUGGGGCGGCAUAUCUGCUAAACAACAACGCAGGUGUCCUAAGGCGAGCUCAGUGAGGACAGAAACCUCACGUAGAGCACAAGGGCAAAAGCUCGCUUGAUCUUCGACUUUCAGUACUAGUCGAGAAAGUGAAAGCUUGGCCAGCGAUCCUUUGAGCACGUACAUUCAGGUAUAAUGCCAGAGGUGUCAUAAAAAUUACCACAGGGAUAACUGGCUUGUGGCAGCCAAGCGUUCCUAGCGACGUUGCCGUUUGAUCCUUCGAUGUCGGCUCUUCCUAGCCUUGCGCCGCAGCAGACGCAAAGGGUCGGAUUGUUCACCCGGAUGAGGGAACGUGAGCUGGGUUUAGACCGUCGUGAGACAGGUUGGUUUUACCCUACUUAAUCGUACAUAUCAACUCGGCGCUCCGAGGGUAAUGCGAAGUAGUACGAGAGGAACUUUCGUUUCGCCUCACUAGCAACCGCGGUCCUCCGAAGCGAGGCGCCGCAACGCCACCAGGCGAUGAUUCACAGCUGAACGCCUCUUAAGCUGGAAAUCAACCCCGACGAGCGCCUUGGCCGCACGGCCAACCGGUGCCGAAGUGUAUGCCCGCGACGGUAUGGUCCUCGGACCGCCAUCGGGCAGCUCUAUCGAGCCAUCGUAACGUACGAGUAGGUACCACGGAACACCUGGAACAUACGAUUCCAGAUGCACAGCCAGGUAUACGUGCUGGAGGAAUCUAGGUUCCGACUCACUGAGCCUGUGUGAUGUGCCAAUAGGUGCGA
rfam:Perkinsela sp. CCAP 1560/4 XT18scaffold_2, whole genome shotgun sequence.